rnacentral:lncRNA from 1 species
GGAUUGGUGGUUCCAUCCCCAUUGUCUUCUCCUAUUUUUCGGAGUUUCUGGCCCAGGAGAAACGUGGGGAGCAUUUGAGCUGGCUCUGUAUGUUCUGGAUGAUUGGUGGCGUGUAUGCAGCUGCAAUGGCCUGGGCCAUCAUCCCCCACUAUGAAUGGGAAGCACGAUGAGGCCUGGAUGGUGCUGAAGCAGGUUCAUGACACCAACAUGCGAGCCAAGGGCCAUCCUGAGCGAGUCUUCUCAGUAACCCACAUUAAAACGAUUCAUCAGGAGGAUGAAUUGAUUGAGAUCCAGUCAGACACAGGAACCUGGUACCAGCGCUGGGGAGUGCGGGCUUUGAGCCUGGGGGGUCAGGUUUGGGGGAACUUCCUCU